GGGCCCGCACAAGCGGUGGAGCAUGUGGUUCAAUUCGAAGCAACGCGAAGAACCUUACCUGGGUUUGAAGAUCAGUCGAACGGGUGCGAAAUCACCCUUUCCCGCAAGGGACGGCUGGUUAGGUGCUGCAUGGCUGUCGUCAGCUCGUGUCGUGAGAUGUUGGGUUAAGUCCCGCAACGAGCGCAACCCUUGCUGCUAGUUGCCAACGGUUCGGCCGGGCACUCUAGUGGGACUGCCGGUGACAAACCGGAGGAAGGUGGGGAUGACGUCAAGUCCUCAUGGCCUUUAUGUCCAGGGCUACACACGUGCUACAAUGGCCGGUACAAAGUGACGCGAUAGCGCAAGCUGGAGCAAAUCACAAAAAGCCGGUCUCAGUUCGGAUUGGAGUCUGCAACUCGACUCCAUGAAGCUGGAAUCGCUAGUAAUCGCGGAUCAGCACGCCGCGGUGAAUACGUUCCCGGGCCUU
rnacentral:rRNA from 1 species